CUAUUCUUAAAGGCAGUGCAGCAGGAGCUGCUAUGUCAUGUAUGGGUCAAUAGAUGGCUCAGAGGAGACCAUCUAUUUCUUCACUCAGCUUUAUGGCCAGUGUACAUCUGAAUGAUUAGUAGACUAACACU
ensembl:snoRNA LOC120093468 small nucleolar RNA SNORA17